rnacentral:rRNA from 1 species
GGUAGAUGAACGCUGGCGGCAGGCCUAACACAUGCAAGUCGAACGGUAACAGGAAGAAGCUUGCUUCUUUGCUGACGAGUGGCGGACGGGUGAGUAAUGUCUGGGAAACUGCCUGAUGGAGGGGGAUAACUACUGGAAACGGUAGCUAAUACCGCAUAACGUCGCAAGACCAAAGAGGGGGACCUUCGGGCCUCUUGCCAUCGGAUGUGCCCAGAUGGGAUUAGCUUGUUGGUGGGGUAACGGCUCACCAAGGCGACGAUCCCUAGCUGGUCUGAGAGGAUGACCAGCCACACUGGAACUGAGACACGGUCCAGACUCCUACGGGAGGCAGCAGUGGGGAAUAUUGCACAAUGGGCGCAAGCCUGAUGCAGCCAUGCCGCGUGUAUGAAGAAGGCCUUCGGGUUGUAAAGUACUUUCAGCGGGGAGGAAGGGAGUAAAGUUAAUACCUUUGCUCAUUGACGUUACCCGCAGAAGAAGCACCGGCUAACUCCGUGCCAGCAGCCGCGGUAAUACGGAGGGUGCAAGCGUUAAUCGGAAUUACUGGGCGUAAAGCGCACGCAGGCGGUUUGUUAAGUCAGAUGUGAAAUCCCCGGGCUCAACCUGGGAACUGCAUCUGAUACUGGCAAGCUUGAGUCUCGUAGAGGGGGGUAGAAUUCCAGGUGUAGCGGUGAAAUGCGUAGAGAUCUGGAGGAAUACCGGUGGCGAAGGCGGCCCCCUGGACGAAGACUGACGCUCAGGUGCGAAAGCGUGG